rnacentral:lncRNA from 1 species
CACAACCACGAAUUGCAAAUCCCUCCGCCGAAUCCUCCGCCGCCGAAUCGCAAAUAUGGAACCACAAAUCCCUCCGCUGGAUCCUUAAUCGAAGAACCUCAAACCCCUUCGUCGUCCUCCUUCGUUCAAUCCGUCAAUAUCUCUGCCGUUCUUCUUCAAUUACUCCACCGUUCUCCUUUAAUCCUCCGCCGUUCUCUGCGGUCCAAGGUAUCGAGUAACUCCGACCAUCUCUCUGCUGUUUCAUUGUAUUGAUUGCAUGCUUGUUGUUUAUCUUUAGCUUGUUGUUUUGUUAGUUAGGUAUCAUUCAAUUCUUCUCUCUGUGAAUCAAAGAAGCCCCUUUGUGAGUUGUUCUUAUGGUCUCAAGUUAUGGUUUGUUUUUUGUUUCUUUUACUGCAUUUUUUGUAAUUUCCCCUUAGAAGCCCCUUUGUUUUUGUUUCACUCUCAAUUUAUGUUUUGUUUCUUUUGCUGUACUAUAUUUUUUAUUUCCCUGGGAUAUGAGGUUUUAAUCUUUG